CAGACAACAAAGCAGUUGGAACAUGUUGAGGU
rnacentral:piRNA from 1 species